rnacentral:rRNA from 1 species
UACGUAGGGUGCGAGCGUUGUCCGGAAUUACUGGGCGUAAAGAGCUCGUAGGUGGUUUGUCGCGUUGUUCGUGAAAACUCACAACUCAAUUGUGGGCGUGCGGGCGAUACGGGCAGACUGGAGUACUGCAGGGGAGACUGGAAUUCCUGGUGUAGCGGUGGAAUGCGCAGAUAUCAGGAGGAACACCGGUGGCGAAGGCGGGCUUCUGGG